CCUACGGGCGGCAGCAGUGGGGAAUAUUGCACAAUGGGCGCAAGCCUGAUGCAGCCAUGCCGCGUGUGUGAAGAAGGCCUUCGGGUUGUAAAGCACUUUCAGCGGGGAGGAAGGCGGUGAGGUUAAUAACCUCAUCGAUUGACGUUACCCGCAGAAGAAGCACCGGGUAACUCCGUUCCAGCAGCCGCGGUAAUACGGAGGGUGCAAGGUGUAAUCGGAAUUACUGGGCGUAAAGCGCACGCAGGCGGUCUGUCAAGUCGGAUGUGAAAGCCCCGGGCUCAACCUGGGAACUGCAUUCGAAACUGGCAGGCUAGAGUCUUGUAGAGGGGGGUAGAAUUCCAGGUGUAGCGGUGAAAUGCGUAGAGAUCUGGAGGAAUACCGGUGGCGAAGGCGGCCCCCUGGACAAAGACUGACGCUCAGGUGCGAAAGCGUGGGGAGCAAACAGGAUUAGAUACCCUGGUAGUC
rnacentral:rRNA from 1 species